rnacentral:misc_RNA from 1 species
AGGCGAGAUGCCUGACCUUCCGUGGUAGGAUUUACGACAAUGCAAGUGAUAUCGAUGCUGGCUUUGCAACCACUCGAAGGCGCCAGUGUCCGGCUACUGGUGGGGAUGGCAAUCUUGCACCACUCGAUUUGGUGACGCCAAAUUCUUUUGAUAACAACUACUUCAAGAAUCUUAUUAAGAAAAAGGGUCUUCUUCAAUCAGAUCAGGUGCUUUUUAGCGGUGGAUCAACAGACAGCAUUGUUAAUGAGUAUAGCAGGAGCCCUUCAACUUUCAGUUCUGAUUUUGCUUCUGCCAUGGUAAAGAUGG